UGCUUAGGCCACACGAUAGACUGCUUCCU
rnacentral:piRNA from 1 species